AGAAUGAAUGUGUAGAUUUGUAAGCACUGAUACAUUACUGAUAAGAAUGGUACAAUAACUAAAUCUAUACUUUAUUUAGCAGAAAAUUCCUCCACACCCAACUUCCUCAAAUCCUUUUCAAGCUGCUCUUUCUUAAUUUGACAAGCUAAUUUGAACUCAUGAUCUGCAAGAAUCUGUUAGGAAAUUAGCAUUCAGUAAUUGAGAAUUUUAUAUUCAUGGGAAGCCUGAUGGUAGCAAAGCAAGAAAAGAAACAGCCACAGAAGUGCUUAAUGAACAAAGUAUUUUUCUUAAACCAGAGUGAGAUUAGUGAUGGUAUUGUUUGAAAUACAAAGAAGGAAGCCUCACAAGAUCUUACAUCUUCUCAAGUGGGAUAGCUGUACUACUUUUAACACAGUGUAAACUUCAGUGAGACUGAAGUCUAACUUCCAUUAUGGAACACAGAGGAUCAUGAGUUCUUAAUGUAUUUUCAUGGAAAGUUAGCCUGUAUCCAAGUGAACUAGCUUUUCACCGAAAUUCAUACAUCCAUACACGGAUAAAUAUCAAAUAAAUGCCUUUUUACAAGUUGGACAAGAUUGUGGAAUUUGUUAAUGACUAAAUUCCAUUGAAUUAUUAAGUCUUUCACUCAAAAUGGAUGAAAUGAUUGACUCAUAUUGUAAGAACCUCUUGAAUAAAAUUAAUACCAUGUAAAUCAUACAGAUUUUAAAAUAAAUCACAUAAUUUAUUUAUUUUCUCUGUUUCUCUCCUUUCCUUCUUCUGUC